AACGCACAUUGCGCUCCUCGGCUCCGCCGGGGAGCAUGCCUGUUCGAGCGUCAUUUCAAACCCUCAAGCUCGGCUCUGCUAGGCUUGGCUUUGGGCGUCGAGCCCCCCGUCGUUUCGAAGGGGAGGGCUCGAGUCCCGAAUGACUUUGGCGGCGACCCCGAUCUCCGAGUGCACAAGACCGCGCUUACGGAGAGUUUCGGGAGUCGUGUGCCCCCAAAAACUUCCCGCGAGGGAAACAACCCCCAGAGAUUGACCUCGGAUCAGGUAGGGAUACCCGCUGAACUUAA
rnacentral:misc_RNA from 1 species